rnacentral:rRNA from 1 species
GUGCACCAGGCGCGAAAACUCCGCAAUACGCGAAAGCGUGACGGGGCUACCCCGAGUGUCGUCCGCUGAGGACGACUUUUCCACGCUGUAAGGAGGCGUGGGAAUAAGGAGAGGGCAAGUCUGGUGUCAGCCGCCGCGGUAAUACCAGCUCUCCGAGUGGUAGGGACGAUUAUUGGGCUUAAAGCGUCCGUAGCCGGCUCAGCAAGUCUCCCGUUAAAUCCAACGAUUCAAUCGUUGGACUGCGGGAGAUACUGUUGAGCUAGGAGGCCGGAGAGGGCGACGGUAUUCCCGGGGUAGGGGUGAAAUUCUAUAAUCCCGGGAGGACCACCAGUGGCGAAGGCUGUUGGCUAGAACACGCCCGACGGUGAGGGAUGAAAGCUGGGGGAGCGAACCGGAUUAGAUACCCGGUAGUCC